rnacentral:rRNA from 1 species
AUUGAACGCUGGCGGCAUGCGUAACACAUGCAAGUCGAACGGUGUUUGGUGCUUGCACCAGACAUAGUGGCGGACGGGUGAGUAAUGCGUAGGAAUCUGUCUUAGAGAGGGGGACAACCCGAGGAAACUUGGGCUAAAACCGCAUAUUCUCGAGAGAGGAAAGCAGGGGACCGGAAACGGCCUUGUGCUCUAAGGUGAGCCUACAUCGGAUUAGCUAGUUGGUAGGGUAAAAGCCUACCAAGGCGAUGAUCUGUAGCUGGUCUGAGAGGACGGACAGCCACACUGGGACUGAGACACGGCCCAGACUCCUACGGGAGGCAGCAGUGGGGAAUAUUGGACAAUGGGGGGAACCCUGAUCCAGCGAUGCCGCGUGUGUGAAGAAGGCCUGCGGGUUGUAAAGCACUUUCAGUGGGAAAGAGAAGCGUCUUGUGAAUAAUGGGACGUGGAGACGUUACUCACAGAAGAAGCACCGGCUAACUCUGUGCCAGCAGCCGCGGUAA